UACGUAGGGUGCGAGCGUUAUUCGGAAUUACUGGGCGUAAAGAGUGCGUAGGUGGUUGGUUACGUUAUCUGUGAAAUCCCUGGGCUUAACCUGGGCAGGGCAGAUGAUACUGAUUAACUCGAGUAUGGGAGAGGGGAGUGGAAUUUCCGGUGUAGCGGUGAAAUGCGUAGAGAUCGGAAGGAACACCAGUGGCGAAGGCGGCUACCUGGCCUAAUACUGACACUGGGGCACGAAAGCGUGGGGAGCAAACAGG
rnacentral:rRNA from 1 species